AACGAACGCUGGCGGCAGGCCUAACACAUGAAAGUCGAACGCCCUAGCAAUAGGGAGUGGCAGACGGGUGAGUAGCGCGUGGGAACGUGCCUUUCGGUUCGGAAUAACUCAGGGAAACUUGAGCUAAUACCGGAUACGCCCUUCGGGGGAAAGACUUAUUGCCGAAAGAUCGGCCCGCGUCCGAUUAGCUAGUUGGUGAGGUAAAGGCUCACCAAGGCGACGAUCGGUAGCUGGUCUGAGAGGAUGAUCAGCCACACUGGGACUGAGACACGGCCCAGACUCCUACGGGAGGCAGCAGUGGGGAAUAUUGGACAAUGGGCGCAAGCCUGAUCCAGCCAUGCCGCGUGAGUGAUGAAGGCACUAGGGUUGUAAAGCUCUUUCGCCAGGGACGAUAAUGACGGUACCUGGAUAAGAAGCCCCGGCUAACUUCGUGCCAGCAGCCGCCGUAA
rnacentral:rRNA from 1 species